rnacentral:rRNA from 1 species
GAUGAACGCUGGCGGCGUGCCUAAUACAUGCAAGUCGAGUGAACGGACGAGAAGCUUGCUUUUCUGAUGUUAGCGGCGGACGGGUGAGUAACACGUGGAUAACCUACCUAUAAGACUGGGAUAACUUCGGGAAACCGGAGCUAAUACCGGAUAAUAUUUUGAACCGCAUGGUUCAAAAGUGAAAGACGGUCUUGCUGUCACUUAUAGAUGGAUCCGCGCUGCAUUAGCUAGUUGGUAAGAUAACGGCUUACCAAGGCAACGAUGCAUAGCCGACCUGAGAGGGUGAUCGGCCACACUGGAACUGAGACACGGUCCAGACUCCUACGGGAGGCAGCAGUAGGGAAUCUUCCGCAAUGGGCGAAAGCCUGACGGAGCAACGCCGCGUGAGUGAUGAAGGUCUUCGGAUCGUAAAACUCUGUUAUUAGGGAAGAACAUAUGUGUAAGUAACUGUGCACAUCUUGACGGUACCUAAUCAGAAAGCCACGGCUAACUACGUG